rnacentral:rRNA from 1 species
UACGUAGGGGGCAAGCGUUGUCCGGAAUCAUUGGGCGUAAAGAGCGUGUAGGCGGCUCGGUAAGUCCGCUGUGAAAGUCCAGGGCUCAACCCUGGAAUGCCGGUGGAAACUGUCGAGCUAGAGUCCGGAAGAGGCGAGUGGAAUUCCUGGUGUAGCGGUGAAAUGCGCAGAUAUCAGGAGGAACACCAAUGGCGAAGGCAGCUCGCUGGGACGGUACUGACACUGAGAAGCGAAAGCGUGGGGAGCGAACAGG